GGGAAGAGACUCUGCCAGCAUAAGUAGCGAUAAACCAGGCGAGAACCCUGGUCGCCGUAGUCUAAGGUUUCCUGAGAAAGGUUAAUCCGCUCAGGGUUAGUCAGUGCCUAAGGCGAGGCCGAUAGGCGUAGCCGAUGGACACACGGUUAAUAUUCCGUGACCACCAAAACUCGAUCAAGGCCGAUGGGGGGACGCAGACCGUAAGCCUGGGGGCGAAAUGGUUACAAACCCAGGUGAAGGGAGAUCCGGAAAGGCAAAUCCGCCGGAUCGUCUGCCAGGAAAAUCCUCUAAGGAGAGUUAGGUGACUGUACCACAAACGGACACACGUGGACGAGAUGAGUAUUCUCAGGCGCUCGGGUGAUGAGUUGUUAAGGAACUAGGCAAAUUAACCCCGUAACUUCGGGAGAAGGGGUGCCCAUGCAAAUGGGCCGCAGUGAAUAGCGUCAGGCGACUGUUUAACAAAAACACAGGUCUCUGCUAAGUCGAAAACGAUGUAUAGGGGCUGACGCCUGCCCGGUGCCGGAAGGUUAAAGGGAGUGGUUAGCGCAAGCGAAGCUACGAACUGAAGCCCCGGUGAACGGCGGCCGUAACUAUAUCGGUCCUAAGGUAGCAAAAUUCCUUGUCGGGUAAGUUCCGACCUGCACGAAUGGCGUAACGAUCUGACGACUGUCUCAACAACUCGCCCGGCGAAUUUGUGGUUCCGGUGAAGACGCCGGAUGCCCGCCACAAGACGGAAAGACCCCGUGCACCUUUACUAUACCCUAUCAGUGAAUUAUGGGUGGACUGCGCAGGAUAGGUGGGAGGCUUUGAGAUCGGGUUUUUGGACUCGAUGGAGCCAACGGUGAGAUACCACCCUGUGUAAUCUGUGAUUCUAACCUGCUUCCAUGAUCUGGAAGAGGGACACUGGUAGGCGGGUAGUUUGACUGGGGCGGUCGCCUCCUAAAUUGUAACGGAGGCGCUCGAAGCUGCGUUCAGGUGGUUUGGAAAUCCACCGACGAGUGCAAAGGCAUAAACGCGGUUAACUGCGAGACCUACAAGUCAAGCAGGUGGGAAACCAGGACUUAGUGAUCCGGUGGUUCUGUAUGGAAGGGCCAUCGCUCAACGGAUAAAAGGUACGCCGGGGAUAACAGGCUGAUCGGAGUCAAGAGUUCACAUCGACGCUCCGGUUUGGCACCUCGAUGUCGGUUCAUCGCAUCCCGGGGGUGUAGAAGCUCCCAAGGGUUAGGCUGUUCGCCUAUUAAAGCGGUACGUGAACUGGGUUCAGAACGUCGCGAGACAGUUCGGUCCCUAUCUGUGGUGGGCGCAGGAAAUUUGAGGGGGCUUGGCCUUAGUACGAGAGGACCGGGCUGAACGAACCUCUUGUGAUACC
rnacentral:rRNA from 1 species